rnacentral:rRNA from 1 species
CAACAACCACCUUACCCACGAAUAAAAGACUUAAUAGUAGUACUCAACGUCGUUCGUAAACAGGGACCACCUCACCCAAUUAUCGCACUCACACAACGAGUAAAACACACAGUCGCGGACCUCAUACACGUCCUUGUAGUCAGAACUGGCGAUGUAGUAGUAGUAGCAGCCGAAAAAGUGGGAGGACGAGAUAAUAGUGGACACCGACACGACGGAGCAAGACAUGGCAAACGAACAGACGCAGACAACGACGGAGAACAAGAAGAACACAUCCCUGACGAAGAAGAAGAACAAGGAGACGCCCGCAUAGUACUCCGAGAGGUCGGAGGUGGAGGUAAAAGAGGACGACGACGACGAGUAGUAAUAACCAUCGUCUGCGUCUGCGUCUGCCGUACAGCCGGAGUGAGUCGUCGAGUACCCCAAACAACACCUCGUCACACUAACUCGAACCGAGGAGCAGGAACUACACGACCACCUG